GGACGACCUUCACUAUGCCAGUGUCCUGUUUUACAAGAACCGCGCAGAUUUUCUCUCCUCCUUCAUCAGACCAGCUCAGCCUCGCAGACACAAGAAGGACGAGAGUGUUGUUUACGCUGAGGUCACAUUCAAGAGAUGUCAGAGGUCAGCCGCGGAGGAUUCGGCGGCAGCAUUGUACAGCACAGUCAUCAAAACCAACUAAGCAAAGGGAAUCUGCAGCUUUUCAUGGAGAUGACCCUUUUCAUGAACAUGCACGCGGCCGCACCCUGGCUCAUUAGCAUAUUUACAUGUUCAUGAUUGAGCAGCAGUAGACGUUUGAGCAAUCAUUGACAGGAAACUCCCCAGCAGCAAGAGGAGGAAGCCUACUCCCAAAAAUGACACCCCAA